UGCAUGACGCCGCUGGGACCCCACUUCGGGACCCCACUUCAGUCCCCCGACACCUCACGCCGUUUCUGGCAAUUGGCGAAUGUGUAGACGUUUAACAAGAUAAUCCCUACUCCUGUGGACUUCAUGAAAAAUGCAUUAACUUAAUCCAUGACAACAGUUGACAGGUCUACCAGGCAUAGAUCAGUGGAGGCUGGUGGGAGGAUCUAUAGCAGGACGGGCUCAUUUUGAUGGCUGGAAUGGUUUAAAUGGAACAACCACACCUGUUGGCAUUCUCACAAACAAUCGCAACAUUGCUUCAAUAAUAUAUAGAACUUUUCUUGCAGCUCUGGUAUAUACAGCUUUUUUGAGGCCUUGCUCACAAUUCAUUCUGUGGCAGCACAAUGACCAAACUAUAUACUGUAUGUGAGACUCUUGAUCAUAUCUUUGAUCAUGACACUGGUGAGGAGGAGAGAGUCCUUGUUAAACUUUGACACAAAGUAGUCUGUGAUAAAUAGCAUAAUAUGUUUCAUCUGAGUAUUUGUUAGAGUUAAAAUAAUCCAUACAUUAUGCUUUUUUUAAAACUCAAAAACGACUUGUAUGAGCUCAGGUCAAUGAGGCCUACAGGCCAUAAAUAGCAAAUAGAAGUUCAAAAUGUUCACAAUAGCUUAAGUUGAUAAAAAGAUCUAACACAACAUUAGGUGAUAAUAUAUGGAUUAUUAUGGAUUUCUAAUCAGCUAUAAUGGAGCGGUCAUAUUGGACCGGGAACACAGAAUGAAUUAGCAUGAAAACUAACACAAAAGGAGGGUUAAGAGAUAAGGGGGUCAAUAGCCAUCUAUAUUCAAUACAAUUCACAAGAUCAAUUAAAAUGUUUAACCCUUUAUCAUGGUUGGUGUAUUUGCAUUUAUGGCAGUGUAAGUUGUUGUUAUAUCAUAUAUUAAGCAUCAAUCAGUUAAAUUAGACAAUGAACUAGAAACCCGUAAUAAUCUUGGAUUUAGCUGUCAGACAGUUGUUUUGUAUAGAGAUCUCAGAAAUUCAGUGUAACUACCUAACAUUUCCGGUCUCCUUAUGUUACAGGGUGAAAACUGUUUUCAUGGGCACACAAAUCUAAAAUAAUGAUUGCAUUGCAAAAUUGAAUGCUUCUAACCAAAAGAGUCACAGUCAUUAGUCACAGUUAUUAAUGUGAUACUUCAAUAAUUAUGCAUAAUACUUGUUGUAUGCACAUUUGGUGUCCAGCUGAUUAGUUACACCGUAAUAUUUUCACACAUCAUCAUAUGAAUGACAGUCAAGUGAUGAACAGCUGUAGUGAUAUCGCAUGUGAUGGAACAACAGCCCAAGUGCUAGAAAAAAAGGUGUUAUCGAGGAAUGUCCAGAAUAUUUUGGUGUCUCAGUCGUUACACUGGUGAAGACAGUUGUGCCUGGAUCCACCUUGGAUCUAAUAUCCCUAGCAAAUAGAUGCUGAUCAUCUGUUGUUGUCUGCUUGAUUUACAGCAGGGUCUUGUUAGAUUUAACAGAGAAAGUAUCAAGGUAAUGAGUUCAUGUUUUUAUAUAUUUUUGUGCCUUGGAUUGGACACCAAGUCUACUGUGCACUAUUGUGUAGGAUAGACUAGUGCGCAACACCCAAUGCUAUUCCUAUUAUUUUAUUUUGGAUAUAAUGACAACAAAUUACAUAGCCUAGUAGGCUUAUUCACAAUAUGAUCUGGUAAUGAAAUAACAUGACAAAGAUUUUUUUUCUUCCCACAUUAGACCUGCAAUUUUAAAACAAUUACAAGGGGUUUGGAGUAGCCUACUCAAGUAAAUUUGAAGUUGAAUUUGGAGCUCUGAAAUGUAAGUACUGGAAUAGGCCUACCUUGAAAAUCAGACAUUUCCUCAAUUUGGUGCUUGAAAUGUUUUUGCAAUUAUUGUAGCCAGCUUAUAAGUUCUCCUGGUCCCUUAUAAUUAUCUGUGAUUUCAAUUUUGUGAGAGGUGUGGCCAAUUUUGUUUGUUUCCCACUGCUUUAAUUGAAGGGUGUUGCACUACUCUGUUGUAUGUGCAGUUAUAGAGCCCCACCUUGGAGAUGUCAUAAUACCCAUAAAACCUAGCGGUCAAGCAGGGAAUUGGUUCCAAAUCAUUUUCCCUCUUUUCAUUUUUCCCAUAGAGAAUUUUCUUGUGGGCUUACCCUGGCGUGAUGUUUUGAUAACCAUAUAAAUUUUUCUCAGACAAGGUGACUUUUAUUAGUAUAUUUGGCUCUUUUACUCUCAGAUUCUAAAAUGUUAAUUAGCAUCAAAGUAGACAUCAUGCGAGACUAUAAAUCCCUGCAAGCUCCUGCAUGUUAUCUCUAGCUUACACCUGUCACGCCCUGACCACAGAGAGCCCUUGGUCCUCUAUGGUGUCGUAGGUCAGGGCGUGACUAGGGGGUGCUCUAGCUAUAUAUUUCUAUGUUGGUGUUUCAGCCCGGCGCCAUGUUCGGAUCCGGGGUCUG